rnacentral:rRNA from 1 species
AGUGAACGCUGGCGGCAGGCCUAAUACAUGCAAGUCGAACGAACAUACCGGGGUCUGUGGCCUCCGGGUGUGGAGCACGUCGGAAGGUGCACUCAGGUAUGGAAUAACUCUGGGAAACGUGUGCCUUUAGGGAACGUGCGCUACGGGGGGAAGAUUUAUCGACGUUAGUGCGUCACGCGUCUGAUUAGCUAGUUGAUUGAGGUAUUGGUUCACCAAGGCGACGUUAGGUAGCUGGUCUGAGAGGAUGGUCCGCCACAUUGGAACUGGGACGCAGUCCAGACUCCUCCGGGAGGCGGCAAUGGGGGAUCUAGCGAAGUCGGGGAAGGCAUGACGCUGCCAUGCCGGGUGAAUGAUGAAGGUCUGAAGAUUGUAAAAUUCUUUCACCGGGGACGAUAAUGACGGUACCCGGAGAAGAAGCCCCGGCUAACUUCGUG